CCUAGGGGAGGCAGCAGUAGGGAAUAUUGGGCAAUGGGCGCAAGCCUGACCCAGCGACGCCGCGUGAGGGAUGAAGGUCUUCGGAUUGUAAACCUCUUUCAGUAGGGAAGAAGCGAAAGUGACGGUACCUAAAGAAGAAGCACCGGCUAACUAUGUGCCAGCAGCCGCGG
rnacentral:rRNA from 1 species